rnacentral:rRNA from 2 species
CUAUACUGUGAAACUGCGAAUGGCUCAUUAAAUCAGUUAUCGUUUAUUUGAUAGUACCUUACUACUUGGAUAACCGUGGUAAUUCUAGAGCUAAUACAUGCUAAAAAACCCGACUUCGGGAGGGUUGUAUUUAUUAGAUAAAAAACCAAUGCCCUUCGGGGCUCCUUGGUGAUUCAUGAUAACUUAACGAAUCGCAUGGCCUUGCGCCGGCGAUGGUUCAUUCAAAUUUCUGCCCUAUCAACUUUCGAUGGUAAGAUAGAGGCUUACCAUGGUAUCAACGGGUAACGGGGAAUUAGGGUUCUAUUCCGGAGAGGGAGCCUGAGAAACGGCUACCACAUCCAAGGAAGGCAGCAGGCGCGCAAAUUACCCAAUCCCGACACGGGGAGGUAGUGACAAUAAAUACUGAUACAGGGCUCUUUUGGGUCUUGUAAUUGGAAUGAGUACAAUUUAAAUACCUUAACGAGGAACAAUUGGAGGGCAAGUCUGGUGCCAGCAGCCGCGGUAAUUCCAGCUCCAAUAGCGUAUAUUAAAGUUGUUGCAGUUAAAAAGCUCGUAGUUGAACCUUGGGCCUGGCUGGUCGGUCUGCCUCACCGCAUGUACUGAUUCGGCCGGGCCUUUCCUCCUGGGGAGCCGCAUGCCCUUCACUGGGUGUGUCGGGGAACCAGGACUUUUACUUUGAAAAAAUUAGAGUGUUCAAAGCAGGCCUUUGCUCGAAUACAUUAGCAUGGAAUAAUAGAAUAGGACGUGUGGUUCUAUUUUGUUGGUUUCUAGAACCGCCGUAAUGAUUAAUAGGAACAGUCGGGGGCGUCAGUAUUCAGUAGUCAGAGGUGAAAUUCUUGGAUUUACUGAAGACUAACUACUGCGAAAGCAUUCGCCAAGGAUGUUUUCAUUAAUCAGUGAACGAAAGUUAGGGGAUCGAAGACGAUCAGAUACCGUCGUAGUCUUAACCGUAAACUAUGCCGACUAGGGAUUGG